CCGCCGCGGUAAGACGUAGGACGCGAGCGUUAUCCGGAUUUCUGGGCGUAAAGCGCCUGCAGGCGGUCAGGUAAGUCGGUUGUGAAAGCCCCGUGCUCAACGCGGGGAGGCCAAGCGAUACUGCGUGACUUGAGGGCGGAAGAGGGGAGUGGAAUUCCCGGUGUAGCGGUAAAAUGCGCAGAUAUCGGGAGGAACACCAGUGGCGAAGGCGGCUCCCUGGACCGCACCUGACGCUCAGAGGCGAAAGCUAGGGGAGCGAACAGGAUUAGAGACCCUGGUAGUCCUAGCCCUAAACGCUGGAUGCUAGGUGUAGGGCUGAUGAGGCUCUGUGCCGGAGCGAACGCGAUAAGCAUCCCGCCUGGGAACUACGGCCGCAAGGCUAAAACUCAAACGAAUUGACGGGGACCCGCACAAGCAGCGGAGCGUGUGGUUUAAUUCGAUGCUACACGAAGAACCUUACCUGGGUUUGACAUGCUGGUGGUACCGAACCGAAAGGGGAGGGACCCUUCGGGGAGCCAACACAGGUGCUGCAUGGCUGUCGUCAGCUCGUGCCGUGAGGUGUCGGGUUAAGUCCCGUAACGAGCGCAACCCUUGCUCUUAGUUAUACGUGUCUAAGGGGACUGCCGGCGACAAGCCGGAGGAAGGUGGGGAUGACGUCAAGUCAGCAUGGCCUUGAUAUCCAGGGCUACACACACGCUACAAUGGCCGGUACAAAGGGCAGCCAAGCCGCGAGGUGGAGCGAAUCCCAGCAAAGCCGGUCCCAGUUCGGAUUGCAGGCUGCAACCCGCCUGCAUGAAGUUGGAGUUGCUAGUAACCGCGCGUCAGCCAUAGUGCGGUGAAUACGUACCCGGGUCUUGUACACACCGC
rnacentral:rRNA from 1 species